rnacentral:rRNA from 1 species
UAACCUACCUAUAAGACUGGGAUAACUCGGGAAACCGGAGCUAAUACCGGAUAAUAUAUUGAACCGCAUGGUUCAAUAGUGAAAGACGGUUUUGCUGUCACUUAUAGAUGGAUCCGCGCCGCAUUAGCUAGUUGGUAAGGUAACGGCUUACCAAGGCAACGAUGCGUAGCCGACCUGAGAGGGUGAUCGGCCACACUGGAACUGAGACACGGUCCAG